GACGAACGCUGGCGGCGUGCUUAACACAUGCAAGUCGAACGGUGAAGGGACUGGCUUUUGUUGGUCCUGGAUGAGUGGCGAACGGGUGAGUAACACGUGAGUAACCUGCCCCCUUCUUCUGGAUAACCGCAUGAAAGUGUGGCUAAUACGGGAUAUUCUGGGUCUGUCGCAUGACGGGCCCGGGAAAGAUAUUGCUUCGGUGGGGGAUGGGCUCGCGGCCUAUCAGCUUGUUGGUGGGGUGAUGGCCUACCAAGGCGGUGACGGGUAGCCGGCCUGAGAGGGUGGACGGUCACACUGGGACUGAGACACGGCCCAGACUCCUACGGGAGGCAGCAGUGGGGAAUAUUGCACAAUGGGCGCAAGCCUGAUGCAGCGACGCCGCGUGAGGGAUGGAGGCCUUCGGGUUGUAAACCUCUUUCGCCAGUGAAGCAGGCCUGCUCCUUGUGGGUGGGUUGACGGUAGCUGGAUAAGAAGCGCCGGCUAACUACGUGCCAGCAGCCGCGGUAAUACGUAGGGCGCGAGCGUUGUCCGGAAUUAUUGGGCGUAAAGAGCUCGUAGGCGGCUGGUCGCGUCUGUCGUGAAAUCCUCUGGCUUAACUGGGGGCUUGCGGUGGGUACGGGCCGGCUUGAGUGCGGUAGGGGAGACUGGAACUCCUGGUGUAGCGGUGGAAUGCGCAGAUAUCAGGAAGAACACCGGUGGCGAAGGCGGGUCUCUGGGCCGUUACUGACGCUGAGGAGCGAAAGCGUGGGGAGCGAACAGG
rnacentral:rRNA from 1 species